AGUGGCCAGCUAUUAGGAACUCUACUCACUCUUGCCAAUUUUCUAGUGACUGCUUGUGUUAUCGCUGUCUGAAAAAUAGGGGUAUUUUUUUUUUUUUGACCAAGAAAAAACAAGAUGCAUUUGGUCAUCAAAAGCAAGCCUUUCAGAGAGGGCGAUUCAGAGUGUGGUGGAGAGCAAAUGCAUGCUUGUUAAAGCCACAGCCAUUCGCUCCUUUGCCAAGCUCUGUUAUUCCAGAAACAGCUGCUCUGAAGGUUGGCUGAGGUCUUGUUUAGAGAAUCAAUUAGCCAAAGAAGUUUAGGCCAGUGAAGAAUGUCGCUCAAGUAUAGAAAGAUUUGGAAAACACAUAUUUUUGUGUUUCCUGCAGGAAAACUUGCUCAUGUUCUGCACAGCUAAUAUGCCAUGUAACUUCACAAAGAAAUGAAGCAGUCAGGAUGGGUUUCAUGGAUGGCUUUAUUAGCAAAGACGCCGACCAAAUGAAAACUGGAGCCCAACCAAUGAUGAGAAAUAGCCCAAAGAUUCCUGGGACCGAUCACAGUCCUCAGGGUCAUAUUUGCUUGGAAUCAGUAGCAGAAUUUUGCCAUCCUGUAGAAAGAGUUAGAAAGCUAACCAGCUCAAAGCUGUGGACUUACAGGUAAUUACCUGUUCCUGAAUGAUUUGGUAAAACAUAUACAUUUGUCUUCUUAUUUCCACAAACUUAGUCAAAGUUGCAGAGAUGAUAAUAAUAUUAAUUCUUCAGUGGUGUAAACAAAACGAAAAAUAACCCCUCAACCUUGUAAAAAUGACCGUAAACAUUUUGUUUUUACAGCAGAAAUGUAUAUAGCUGGUUAUAAAUGACAAGCACAUAGCCAUUUAUAUCUAUAAAAUGACUCAUCACUCCAGAGGCUCCCAUUAUAUUGUAACAUAAAGCACAAUGGAGAUUGACAAUAUCUGCUUUGAGGUUUCACCUACUCCAUAUAAUUAUCAAUAAUAAUAUAGGAAAGAUAUUUAACCAGAGACAUUGAAAGCAUUAAAGAAUAGGUACAGAAUAAUGACACUAAAACGUGUAUUAAAAACUGUAAAGUUUACUAUCCAUUUUUUUUAAUUUUAUGUUUAAUUUUUAUUUUUUAUUUAAGGAUUUUGUUAAUGCAUUAGAUUCUCAGGUUCACAGCAAAUGCAUGAAAAUUACAACACAAGUCUCAGCAAUUAUAAUGCUAAUGUGAUAUUAAUAUAAAAGAACAGAUCAUUGCAGUUCAUAGAUACAAUUCUAAUAUGUAACAUUUCCUCCCUGCUAUCCUCUCUUCCUUUCUUUCUUCCCUUCCCACCCUCAACCUCCCUAUCUUCCUUUCUUUUUUUAAUUUUUGAAAUAACAUAUUUUAUUUACACCACAAAGGCUUAAUGCUCCACUAAAUAGAGAAUUCAACAAGUAAAAAGUAAAAAGAAACUUGUGAUUAUUUUAAAAUUUACUGUAUAUGAGUGAAAAGUUCUAUUUUCAGUUCAGUAUUACUUAUAGUUCUUGCCUAUAUUCCUGUUGAACUAGGGUCUUAAUUUUAUUUUUUAAUUAAUGUAUUUUUAUUAAUACAAAGAGGACAGAUUUCAUUUAGUUCAUAGACAUAAUUCUAAGAAUAAAAUGAUACUUCCUUCCCCCUUCCUCUCCUAG
rnacentral:lncRNA from 1 species